UAGUUUUUAAAUUAAUCUCUACACCCAUUGUGGGGCUUGAACUCACAAUCCUGAGAUCAAGAGUCAUAUACUUUACUGACUGAGCCAGUCCAGUGCCCCUAUAUUGUUUUAUUUUUCAUUUCAUUUUAUUUAUUUUUUAAAUACUUGUGGGGAAUCUUUAUUUAUUUGGAGAGAGAAUGGGCGGAAGUGAGCAAGGUGCAGAGAGAGAGAGAAGGAGAGAGAGAAGCAGGGCUCACCUGAAGGGGGUGGGGUGGGGCUUGUGCUCACCGGAUGCGGGCCUCAAACUCAACAAACCAUGAGAUCAUGACCUGAGCUGAAGUUGGACAUUUAAUCGACUGUGUCCCCCGGGUGCCCUGCGAUUCUUUUUCUGUUCACAAUGAUGUAAAAGAUUUAGAAGGUCAUUAAUUUGUCAAAUCAACUCAGCUGGUGGAGCCCCUGGCCACAGACAAAUAGUUACGUAUAAGCUGGACCAGAAGUGUCCACCACGCAGUAUGUGUUCAUCAGAGUCAGUAGAAACAGAUGAUUGGGCUUGUGCUCUCUGCUCUUUACUGCCUCUUCUUACCUCUUGUCCUUCCCUUCUUAGUCCGCUGUUGUGGGUUCCUGAUCGUGUUUGGUUAUUUGUCUGCUCAAAGCCAGUGGUGCUGUGUGGGAGCACAUAUCUGCUAGCCAGGCCCUAACAGGAAAGCAUGGCUAUAAGUGCCUGGGUGAUGAGGCCAGGUGAACCAGGUUCAAAGUCACCAGGUGAUGAGGCCAGGUGAACCAGGUUCAAAGCAAGUAUGUUCACUUGGGUAGGGUAUUUAACAUCUGCCCCCACCCCCGUUCUUUCUUCUUGUGCAAGAUGAGGGGGGGAUAAUGAGUCCCUCAUGUAGGGUUAAUAGCACAGACUGGCAUCAGACUGCUUGCGUUUGAAUUCUGGCCCCACUGCUGCGGCUUCAUAACUUUGAGCAAGUCACUUGACUCUGCCUCAGUUGGUGAAUCUGCAAAAUAGGAUGCAAAUAGUAUCUCACCAGAAUGUUGGGAGGAGUAAAUGGCUCAUAUGAUAGACGUUUAGAAUAGGGGAAAGGCAGACACCAAGUCUGUGUAACUUUUUGGUUUAAUGAACUACCUAUAGGGACAUUACAUAAUAAAAUGAACAUAAAACACUUGGGCAUAGUAUGGGCUCAAAACACUUUCUAAUUAGAUUUUCCAUUUUCCUGUUUCCAAGCUCUCAGGGUCCAUAGCAUCACCAGCAAAUGAAGGGAAGGCUUGGUGCUCCUGUGUCUAGCGAGGAGGACAGAGCAUUGGCCUUGGAGUUAGAAUUGACUUUUGGGUUCUGGUUCUGGCAUACACUAGCCAUGGAAUGUGAUCCUGUCUUGGCUUUUUUGUCAUCUGAGCGAUGGGAAUCAUGAGGCCUGGAGGGUAAGCUGGGUAUGCAUUAUUAUCUCCGCUUUAUUGAGGACCAGACCGGGCUUCAGAGAUUUGCCCACAGUCACACAGUUCGGGAAGAGCUCACUGAGGCCCACAAGCCCUUCAGACUGUGUCCGGGAUUGUCCAGGAGUCCUCCUUUAUUUCGUCAUGCUGCUGCUCUGAAAUGGUGUUCUUUUUCUCUUAAUUUCCAAGGCCAGACACCUUCCUUCAAGGAGUCGUAACUGGGUGCUUCAUAUGACUUGACCUCAGUUGAGAAGUUCUGCUGCUUGGAUCAAUGCAUUGGCUUCUUUUCAAUCUCUUUUCAUGGCACUAUUUGCGAUUUCUCCUGUAAAAGCAUGGACCUAUUUAACUAUUCAGCUCAUUAAGCUGUAGUUAGUGAACACUGCACCUAAUAAAGUUUCAGGGGGCCCUAUUCCAUGUCUUGGUCUGCCUGUGUUCUUUGAUGACAUUUGUAAAGAGGAAAUCCAUGCAACAAGAUGUUUCGUUUGAUCCCUUCUCUUUGCAGGUGCUUUGGUAGGACGUGAGAAGUUGAAAAGAGCAGUCUUGGGUGCCAUGACAAAGCCGUCUGUAGCCCUGAAGGAUGACAGUCCAUCGAGAAUGAUUGAGACUGUGCAGAACUUCCUUUUACAGAUAGUCAGUGAAUUACAGAUUUGGUGGUUGUGGCUUAAACGCUGGUCAUGUUGAGAUACUGGGUGAUACUAGUUAUCAGGAUGGAGAAACAAAAUGUUAAAAUGUUACUGAAAUUGCUCAAAUCAGAAGAAACUUCCCAGUCAUCACCGUUUUCCAUUCUUUUUGUUUUCUGUCCACCCUACCACCUGUUUUCAACUCUUGAUAUUUAUUGCCAGGGAUCCCAUUUGGAUAAAACUAUUUGCAAAGGGCAGCUUCAGUUGAAACAAUGGAAGCCUAAGGCCCAGAAACAAAGACUCUCCUAGAACAUACACAAGUAUGUUUAAUAAUUUCAUCCUGGGGACAUGACAGAUAAUUUCUUUCUUUGUAUAUUUAUUUAUUUUGAGACAGAGAGGUGGAGGACAAGUGGGGGAGGGGCAGAGAGAAGGCGAGUCAGAACCUCAAGCAGACUUUGAGCCCUCAGUGGAAGCCCCAUGUGGGGCUCAAACUCACGAACCGUGAGAUCGUGAGCAGCUGAGAUCAAGAGUCGGAUGCUUAACCGACUGCACCACCCAGGCUCCCCAUGACAAGUAACUUCUUAACGAUUAAAGUCCCUGCUCGCCUUUACUUCUUCAAGAGGCCCAACUGUGUACACGUGUUUUAGGUCCUCAUUUGUGAUGUCAAAACCAAAGCUCACAGAGGUGAAGUAAUUUGCCCAAGGUCACACCCGUAGCAAGUGCUGGAGCCUUAGGUUUUCUGGAAUUUUAGAGUAUGAUCUUUAAGAAAAACUCUAAAAACUAUUUUCUAAUUUAAAUGAAGACUUCCAGCUUGAUUUUUUUCUUUCCUUUUUUUUUUUUUUAGCCAGGGUUUUGUGAUUUCCAGUUAUCUGACCUGAAAGUAGAAAGCCAGGAUCAUUACGAAUUUUAGGAUAAGUGUACUUUUUAGAGAAGGUGGUGGCGUUGAGGUCAUUGAGAGUAAAUGUGGCAAUCUGUUCCACGUUAAGAAGUUCGGGAAUAAACAAGCAUAAAGCCACUUGAUGUGUGAGUUCAUAUACUCGUGGAAGGAAAGGAAGCAGGCGUGGAUCAUUUAUUAAGCACCUGCUCCAUGGCAGGCUGUGCUCUUUCACUCGUGCUGUGUAUAUACCCCUGACGUUUGUAACGUUUGUAAGCCACGGGUCCUUUUCAGGAUUUAUUGUCACCAUAUGAAGCAGGUGUUGUUUCGCCUGUGGAAAAGGUGGCAGACGCCUGAAGGGUUUGUAAUUGGUCUGGUGUGGGGAGUCAGUGGGUGAAGCCAGUCUUGAAUUCAGCAUCUGAUUCCAAGACCAGCGUUCUUCCCCUGCCUCGCAGCUUAUGUUACAUAAUGUUUCUUUAUGUUUAUAUGCAAUAUAAAUCUCUAAUCGGACGUCUGGGAAGUGCUUUUGGCCAGCUUUGUUGCCUCAGCUGUCUGAAAGGAAUGGCUUUCAUAAACACGGAGCGGGAAUUGGAUUUUCACUUUGUGAUAAUUCAUAUUACAGAAGUGGGAAGGGCCAUUACCCCGGGAAUUCCGUUAAUCCCUGAAGCUGUGGGUCUUGAAUGAGUUGGUUUGCCCUGGACUGUCCCAUUUUCCCCCCUCUUUUGAUAUUUAAUGCCACGUAUGCCUCUUUAUAAAAAGAGAAAUUUCAUGAAUGAAAAUUUAGAACUCGAAAGAAGAAAUGGAACCUCACCCGUAAACUCACUGAUCUUAAAUAACUGUUGUUAGUAUUUCUGUUUUUUUAUUGUGGUAAAAUACAUGUAACAAGAUUUACCAUUUUAAGCACUUGUAAGUGUCCAGGUGAGUAGCAUUAAUACACUCACAUUGUUGUGCAGCUGUCUCCACCAUCCGUCUCCACAGCUUUUUCCCCUUCCCAGACUAAACCUCCACACCCAUCAAACACUAACUCCCCAACCCCCCACUCCCCAAGUUCCUGACUGCCUCCAUAUGCUUUCUGUCUCUAUGAGUUGACUGCUCUAGAUAUCUCAUGGAUGUGGAAUCAUACAGUAUUUGUCCUUCUGUGAUCGGCUCAUUUCUCUUAGCGUAGUGUCGUCAAGGUUCGUCCAUGUUGUAGCCUGUCUGAAUUUCCUUCCUUAUUAAGGCUAAUAAUAUUCCAUUGUGUGGAUAUACUACAUUUUGCUCAUCCAGUCAUCACAUGAUGGAUGCUUGGGUUGUUUCCAUAUCUUAGCUAUCGUGAAUAAUGCUGCUACGAACAUGGGUGUACUAGUAUCUUGAGUCCCUGCUUUCAUUUCCUUUGUGUAUACACCUAGAAGUGGAAUUGCUGGGUCAUAUGCUAAUUCUAUGUUGAAUUUUUUUGAGGAACGGCCAUGCUGUUUUCCACAGUGGCUACGCCAUUUUGCAUUCCCACCAGCUGUGCACAAGGGUUCCAGUCUCUCCACCUCUUUGCCAUUUCUUGUUAUUUUCUGUGUUUUAUUAAUGGCCAUUCUAAUGGGAAUGGGGUGGUAUCUCAUUGUAGUUUUGGUUUGCAUUUCCCUAAGGAUGAGUGUUGUUGAGCGUCUUUUCAUGUGCUUAUUGUUAGUAUUUAACCAACUAGUACAUCCUUCCAGGGUUUACCUUGGCAUCUGUUUUUAUUGCAUGCGUGUGAUCGUGGUCCACACAAAAAACUAUGUUCAGUAUGUUGCAUAUUUUCCACCAACCAUCAUCAUCAACAGGUUUAGUGUUGCAGUAAAGUGUGAAGGUGGUUGGUUAGCUGGCUGGUUGAUUUAUUUAUUUGAGAGAGAUUGUGGGCAGGAGAGGGGCAGAGAGAGAGACAGACAGAAUCCCAAACAAGCUGUGAGCUGUCAACACGGAGCCCAAUCGAUGCAGGACUUGAACUCACAAACCGUGAGAUCAUGACCUGAGCUCAGAACAAGAGUCAGACACUUAACUGACUGAGCCACCCAGGUUCCUCGUGAACGUAUACUUUAAAUUCAACUGAUUGAGAAUUCAAUGGUAAUUCCUGCCACCCCAAAUUAAUUUCCUUAGGAAACCUGUGAUCAUUGGUUUCAGCAGCCCACUGCUGGUAAUACCACAGGGCCUUGUGCGAUGUGAAUACUCUCCUGGAUUUCAAAGUGGAGGGUUCUGGGGUUUAUUACGGAGGGAAGGGAGCCUUAUGGCCAGUUACAACUUUUCUUGAGAUGCUGAUGCCCAGAGAACAGGGGGCAGCUUGUCUGUGAUGUCAUGACCAGGGAACUUGGACCCUUCAGUGAGCGGGUUAAUUGCAUUGCUUCAGUUUCUAAGAGGAAAACUGGGCUCUGGGAUGAGCACACUCUUCUCCCCCAUGGUGGUGUUCUCAACUUCCUCUUUUAUUUGGAAUCUGGAGAAUGUUUUUCAUAGAAACAAUGUUACCGGGGUGACUGUUUCCCAGGUUACUUCUAAAGGCCAAGGGAACCCACAUGUCGAUUCGCUGGAGCCAGCACAGCAUGUUGAGAAGAUCAGAUGGACAGAAUUUUCACCUGGCUUGCCCUGUGCCUGCAGUUGUGAGCUUGCUGCCCGUCCUGCUGAGCCCGAGCUUCCUUGUCCAUAGGGUGGGGGUAAUACCGGCUAAUGUGAGAAAAAGAAGUGAUGAAUGAGUGUGUUAGUUUCCUAAGCCAGAGACUUAGUGGCUUAAAACAACACCAGUUGAUUCUCUCCUAGUUCUGUAGGCCACAAGUCUAAAAUCAGUUAUCACUGGCUCAAAAUCAGAAUUGUUGGCAGGGCCACACCCCCUCCGAGGCUCUCAGGAGAACGUGUUCCUUGUCCCUUCCAGCUCUGGUGGCCGCCAGUGUUCCUUGGCUGGUGGCUGCGUCGCUCAGUCUCUGCCUCUGUGCUCACAUUCCUGUCUUCCUUUCUCUGUGUCCUUCUAUCUGUGAAGUCUCCCUCGGCCUCCAUUUCAUUCGGGUGCGGGUGAUUGCCUUUUGGUUAAGAUCCUUAACUCCAUCAGGGGCCCCUGGGUGGCUCGGUCAGUUAAGCGGCCAACUGUUGGUUUCGGCUCAGGUUAUGAUCUCAUGGUUCGUGGGUUCGAGCCCAACAUUGGGCUCCUGACAGUGUGGAGCCUGCUUGGGAUUCUCCUUCUGUGCCCCGUACCCCCCCCCCCCCCACCCCUCCUCUGCUCAUGCUCUCUCUCUCUCUCUCUCUCUCUCAAAAUAAAUAAAUAAACUUCAAAAAAAAGAUCCUUAAUUCAGUUGUAUUUUUUAUCGUAUGAGGUUCUGGGGUUUAGGGUCUGGGUCUAUCUGGGGGGUACAUUCCUUCUGGGAUGAGGGAAAAAAGGUAAUAGUGUUCUCCAUCAGUGUUUUUAUGUGAUGGGAUUGCCUGGAGAUACUUGAGAUCCAGCGAUGGAGCAGGGAACUGUUUUGGCUUUAACACUCAUGAGUGUUUAAGCCGUUGGCUCAGUGCCUGGUACAGAAAGAUGCCCCAUAUACACUAACUUAGCUUUCUGAGAAUGUUCUGCUGUGCUGUCCUGACUCUCACUCCUUUCCAUUCUGAUUUCCUUUUGCCUUCCUCCUCCUCCUCCUCCUCCUCCUCCUUUUUUUCAAAUCCUUUGUGGAUGCCAAUAGUGUGAUGGGUUUUGCAGAGUUGGGACUUGGGAUCAGUGGCUCUGAUGAGGCAAGAGGACGUCCUAGGAGAUAUAUUAAUCAUAUUUAGGCAAUUCCCUUCCUUGGUGAGCCUGUGGGGAUGACUCAGCCCUACUGUUCCCAUAGAGCCAGCAAAGACCCCUUCGAGGACAUAAGCCGGUGUUGUUCCCAACAUUUCCUGGGUGUCUUUUUUACCUGCCCACGGCAGCUAACCUUGUACGAUGGCCAUGACCUGGAGCCUUGGAUUCAUUUUUCCCAUGUCCCACGACAGUUCUGACCAACCCUGGUUUUAUUCUACGGGAUUCCUGGGUGUUGCCGCCAUCGUGUGCCUGAACACAGAGGUGGAGGUUCGGUGGCCUGUAGUUCACACAGAGCCCUUUCCAGUUCUAGAAGAGAUUCAUUAGGUGAAUUCAACAAGCUUGCGUCUCUGUGGUGCCUCCCUUGUGCCAGGCUCUGAGGGCCUUCCAAGGAUUGAGCCCCGAAGCUAUGUAGGUAAAGUGUCGAUUAUGACUGUGGCAGUGGGUGCCAGGCUUGAGCAGGCGUCAGAACCACCUGGAGCUUGUUAAAGCACCAACUUCUGGCUCCUAGUUCCUGGGGUGGAGUGCCAGAAUUUUGGUGCUGCUGGUUCGGGGACCACACUUGGAAAAUCACCGUGUAGUGGGCUCAUGGAGGACAGAGCACCUAACUCAACGCGGAGGUCAGGAGGGCUUCCCAGAGGUGGGGUUUUCCAGCUGGGCUUAGGGUGGGUCUGAUUUUCCUAAAAUGGACGAAAGAGGACGGGGCAUUUCGCGUGUAAGGGGUGUGUGUGUGUGGCAAGGUAGGGAAUGGAAUGGUGGGAUGUGAUUUUGGAGGGGUUCCCUGUGGCUGGAUUGUGAAGAAAUGGGGAAAAAUAGAGAACUAAGCGUAAGACUUUUUUUUUUUUUGGUUGGUCGAGGGCAUGUGCAUCUAGAGUUUCUGUAAACGUGUAGUCACGUCUCUGGAAAGCUAAGAAAGAGUGUCCUCUGGCAAAGAGUUGCCAAAUCAGGCGAGGUCCUUCCGACUGUAUCUUGUGUCGGGAUGCCGAAGUGAGUUUGGAAACUAGCUGUAUGUGUGUGAUAGAAAUAAGGAGAGCUGGAAGCAAGAAGUAAUGGGAUUCUAUCUCCCUUUCCAUCUCUCCCAUCGUCCAACACAGGCUCUCUUCUUGGAACAAAGUUGGCUCUGUCUUGUGGUCCCACCCAGCUUCGGGCUCCAGGAGGUCUGUUUCUUGCAAGGAGAGGGGCAGCUCAGCCACCCCGGCAGGGACACACCCUUACCUGUAGACCCCAGCCGUUCAAAUCCUGAAGGACUUAAGGAUCAUAGUUGUUUCAAAAUUGAAAUCAAGAUGGGUUUUUAUUUCCUUUCUGCCUUGUAACUUAACCAUUUUCAGCCGGCCCUGAGCAGUUGGUGGCUCACCUUUAGAACCCCGGAAGCAAGAACCUGGAAUUUGCAAAUUCUCUCGUUCAACCAGUUUGGUUGGAUAAUUGCCUUUUCAGUUGAAAACAGUUUUUACUUUCUUUAGUCCUGGGUUUGCAUUACCAUUUGGGGCCAACAACUUUGGUUCUACAGUCUGUUCUUAAUUUCAACUCUCAGAUUGUGAGGUAGAAGGAAUUGGGGAAGUGUGUGUGUGGGGGGGAGGGGGGAUGGGGAAGGGUGGGAUCAGAGCAUGUUUUGAGAUACAAUGGGAUAUUCCCCCCCUCCACCUCAGAAAUGUCCCUCUGUUGCAAUCCUUUGGGGGGAAUGUGCUGGAACCUUGUUUUUUGCAGGCAGAUCUGGUUUGAUGUAAAGAAAAUAGCCCACGGCAUGAUUCCUAUACUAGAGACUCCUUUAAAUCAGAAUUUUACUCUUCCAUACUCUUCCAGUACCAUCUGGUUUCUAAGGAGCUUAUACUGACAGUUUGAUCCUACUGCUGAAUAACUGGGAAGGAAUGACUAGGACAGGGAGGGUGAGACCCUGUAAGUUACCCUCUUGGGGGGGCCGUGCUGUCGUGAUUGAGAGUUUGCAUUGUAAUGGAUGUUAACUCAACUUAACCAUGGGAUCAUUUUGCAAUACAGGCGUAUAUUGAAUCGGUAUGUUGUAUACGUGAAACUUCGGUGUUACAUGUCAAUUAUAUCUCAAUUAAAAAAUUAAUUUAAAAAACUUUGCACUUUAGCAAGGAAACUUCAGAAGGAACUCUGCUUAAUAAUGAACAUGGGCAUCUGAGAUAGAAAAUUGAGAGAUCAAUUAAAGCAGCAUGGUCUACUGGGAAGGAGCAUGGAGCUCAGUUGCGUGGGUGUGAAUGGUGGCUGGUCACGUUGGGCUAGUGGCUUCUUAGGGUCUUAGUUUUCUCAUCCAUAAGAUGGGUGUAAAAUAGUUCAUCUGUCUCAUAGGGUUGUUGUGAAGAUUAAUUGAGUUAAUAUUUAUGAAGAGCUUAAAAUAGGGUCUGGUGCAUGGCACUUAUAUGUCUAUGGUGCUUGUGUAUAAAUGUUUAUUAACCAAAUCAAUUUCUAGAGGAUAAGAAUGAUGAAAAGAAGUUAGAUUUUACUAACUUUUAAAAAAAAUUUUCUUUUUUAACGUUUAUUUUUUUGAGACAGAGAGAGACAGAGCAUGAACGGGGGAGGGUCAGAGAGAGAGGGAGACACAGAAUCCGAAAUAGGCUCCAGGCUCUGAGCUUUCGGCACAGAGCCCAACAUGGGGCUCGAACUCACCGUGAGAUCAUGACCUGAGCCGAAGUCGGACGCUCAACCGACUGAGCCACGCAGGCGCCCCUAGAUUUUACUAACUUUCUUGAACAGAGCUGUUAGCCCUCUGGAAACCAACCCUACAUUGUCUUUAAGUGUCCAAGCUUAUGUGGUUUGUUUUAGAGCAUUCAAGUUUCUCUGUGUUGAGAGAAGAUUGUCUUAGACUUUGGAAAAGAAAAGAAAGCCUUAAGAGUUGUCCUCAGAAUUUAGUUUAAGUUAAAUAUUUUGAGGGAAAAAAAGAGCAUGAAGAGUCUUGCAGAGAGGGUCCUGUCCCUGGUUUUCAGACUGGGUUGUAAGGCACGUGUUGGUUUAUGUGGGGCUGUUGCAUUUAAAAAACUGCAGUAGAAUAGAGAAUUCCAGUGCAUCCCACAUAAGGAAGGCAGGUAUCUUGUAAAAGAUUUUCUUGUGUUACAUACCUGGGUGCCCGUAACAGGUUGCCAUGUGAACUUUCUUACCAUGGACUGCAGUUUACCAUUGGGCCCUGACUUACAACCCUCUUUUGCAUCCACGGGGCUGCGAGAGUGCCUCUUGUCUGUUUCUGCCAGCCACUGCCCACUACCUGUCAGUUUCAUAUGGAUUCUCA